rnacentral:lncRNA from 1 species
CGGGAGUGUGAAAGGAGAAGAGGAAGGAAGGGAUAUAUUUUGAGGAGGAGGAAGAUGAUUGAGCUACGAGGUCUUUCUUUUUAAAGGGUUGUAAUUUAUUUUAGGAUAAUUUUAUUAUUUUAACAGUAGAUUGUUAUUUAUUUUUGUGUUCUAAAUUUUCUAUGUAGGAACUCCACACGAAAUAAACACAUCAAUUUAGAGCUUUCAACGACAAAUUGAAUAGAGC